rnacentral:lncRNA from 1 species
GAUAUAAGACUGUUAUACAAAGUAUCGAACCAAACAGAUCUCAAACUUAAGAGAUUUAAAAAACCUAAAGAAAUACACAACUUCCUUUCAAGCUUUCUCAAACCGCCAUGGCACCAAGAAUGAAGAUGUUUCAAAUGGCCUCAAAUCAAAACAAAUUGUACCCAUCUGUGUGACCAAAACCCUAACCCAAAUUCUCAAAUGCACCUUUAUUGAUUAAAGGAAGCUAUAAGGGCGGAUGAACUCACACCAUCUCUUAUUAGUACACAAAGUGUCAAGAUUAUACAAUGAAUUGGAAAGAAAACCAACUUCCGAUUAGAGAUUGGAAGAUGAACACGAACGAGAGAGGAAGAGUCUCAAACCAUACACAGAUAGCACAAACCCUAAGAAUGAAAGAAUAGGGCAA